GCCGCGGUAAAACCAGCACCUCAAGUGGUCAGGAUGAUUAUUGGGCCUAAAGCAUCCGUAGCCGGCUCUGUAAGUUUUCGGUUAAAUCUAUGCGCUCAACGUAUGGGCUGCCGAAAAUACUGUAGAGAUAGGGAGUGGGAGAGGUAGACGGUACUCGGUAGGAAGGGGUAAAAUCCUUUGAUCUAUCGAUGACCACCUGUGGCGAAGGCGGUCUACCAGAACACGUUCGACGGUGAGGGAUGAAAGCUGGGGGAGCAAACCGGAUUAGAUACCCGGGUAGUCCCAGCUGUAAACGAUGCAGACUCGAUGAUGCAUUGGCAUAUAGCCAGUGCAGUGUCGCAGGGAAGCCGUUAAGUCUGCCGCCUGGGAAGUACGUACGCAAGUAUGAAACUUAAAGGAAUUGGCGGGGGAGCACGGUCAUACCCCAUUUCCUGAACUG
rnacentral:rRNA from 1 species